UACGUGAGUGGCAAGCGUUGUCCGGAUUUAUUGGGUUUAAAGGGUGCGUAGGCGGCCCUGUAAGUCAGUGCUGAAAUAUCCCGGCUUAACCGGGAGGGUGGCAUUGAUACUGCAGGGCUUGAGUAAAGUUGAGGUAGGCGGAAUUGACGGUGUAGCGGUGAAAUGCUUAGAUAUCGUCAAGAACACCGAUAGUGUAGACAGCUUACUAAGCUUAACUGACGCUGAGGCACGAAAGUGUGGGGAUCAAACAGG
rnacentral:rRNA from 1 species